rnacentral:rRNA from 1 species
GUAGUCCACGCCCUAAACGAUGUCUACUAGUUGUCGGGUCUUAAUUGACUUGGUAACGCAGCUAACGCGUGAAGUAGACCGCCUGGGGAGUACGGUCGCAAGAUUAAAACUCAAAGGAAUUGACGGGGACCCGCACAAGCGGUGGAUGAUGUGGAUUAAUUCGAUGCAACGCGAAAAACCUUACCUACCCUUGACAUGGAUGGAAUCCCGGAGAGAUUUGGGAGUGCCCGAAAGGGAACCAUCACACAGGUGCUGCAUGGCUGUCGUCAGCUCGUGUCGUGAGAUGUUGGGUUAAGUCCCGCAACGAGCGCAACCCUUGUCAUUAGUUGCUACGAAAGGGCACUCUAAUGAGACUGCCGGUGACAAACCGGAGGAAGGUGGGGAUGACGUCAAGUCCUCAUGGCCCUUAUGGGUAGGGCUUCACACGUCAUACAAUGGUACAUACAGAGCGCCGCCAACCCGCGAGGGGGAGCUAAUCGCAGAAAGUGUAUCGUAGUCCGGAUUGUAGUCUGCAACUCGACUGCAUGAAGUUGGAAUCGCUAGUAAUCGCGGAUCAGCAUGUCGCGGUGAAUACGUUCCCGGGUCUUGUACACACCGCCCGUCACACCAUGGGAGCGGGUUUUACCAGAAGUAGGUAGCUUAACCGCAAGGAGGGCGCUUACCACGGUAGGAUUCGUGACUGGGGUG